CAAUAGCGUAUAUUUAAGUUGUUGCAGUUAAAAAGCUCGUAGUCGGAUUUUGGCUGAGAACGAUCGGUCCGCCGUUAGGUGUGCACUGAUUGGUCUCAGCUUCCUGGUGAGGAGGUGUGCUUCACGGCCACUUAGUCACCGUGGUUACUUUGAAAAAAUUAGAGUGUUCAAAGCGGGCUUACGCUUGAAUAUAUUAGCAUGGAAUAACACCAUAGGACUCCUGUCCUAUUUCGUUGGUCUCGGGACGGGAGUAAUGAUUAAGAGGAACAGUUGGGGGCAUUCGUAUUUCAUUGUCAGAGGUGAAAUUCUUGGAUUUAUGAAAGACGAACUAGUGCGAAAGCAUUUGCCAAGGAUGUUUUCAUUAA
rnacentral:rRNA from 1 species